GUAGAUAUAGUUCAACGGUUAGAACGUCUAAUUGUGGCUUAGAAGGCUCUAGGUUCAAAUCCUAGUAUUUACC
rnacentral:tRNA from 2 species